UACGAAGGGGGCUAGCGUUGUUCGGAAUUACUGGGCGUAAAGCGCGCGCAGGCGGCCAGCCAAGUCAGGGGUGAAAGCCCGGAGCUCAACUCCGGAAAUGCCUCUGAAACUGUCUGGCUUGAGUACGGAAGAGGUGAGUGGAAUUCCCAGUGUAGAGGUGAAAUUCGUAGAUAUUGGGAAGAACACCGGUGGCGAAGGCGGCUCACUGGUCCGUUACUGACGCUCAGGCGCGACAGCGUGGGGAUCAAACAGG
rnacentral:rRNA from 1 species